rnacentral:rRNA from 1 species
GUCCACGCCCUAAACGAUGACGACUAGAUGUCGGGAGGGUCUGCCUUUCGGUGUCGUAGCUAACGCGUUAAGUCGUCCGCCUGGGGAGUACGGCCGCAAGGUUGAAACUCAAAGGAAUUGACGGGACCCGCACAAGCGGUGGAGCAUGUGGUUCAAUUCGAUGCAACGCGAAGAACCUUACCUGGCCUUGACAUCCGCGGAACUUGGCAGAAAUGCCUUGGUGCCUUCGGGAAUCGCGAGACAGGUGCUGCAUGGCUGUCGU